GGGAUGAUAGUAUAGUGGUUAGUAUUUCUCGUUGUGGUUGUGUUCUUGCAUCCGAGAGGACCCAGGUUCGAUUCCUGGUUAUCCCA